rnacentral:rRNA from 1 species
UUAAGAAGCUCGUAGUUGGAUUUCUGGGAUUUUCAGCCGGCCGCUCUUAGAUUGUAGCUAGUUUGCAAGUCUCAUCUUCUCACAAUUCUCGCUGGCCUUAACUGUUCGGCGUAGAGACUGAGUCGUUUACUUUGAGAAAAUUAGAGUGUUCAAAGCAGCUAUCGCCUGAAUAUAUUAGCAUGGAAUAAUGAUAUAGGACUUUGGUUCUAUUUUGUUGGUUGUUCGAGGACCGAAGUAAUGAUUGAUAGGGACAGUUGGGGGCAUCAGUAUUCUGAAGCGAGAGGUGAAAUUCUUGGACCUUCGGAAGACUAACAACUGCGAAAGCAUUUGCCUAGGAUGUUCUCUUUAAUCAAGAACGAAAGUUGGGGGAUCGAAGACGAUCAGAUACCGUCGUAGUCUCAACUAUAAACUAUGCCAGCUAGGGAUUGGUGGAUGUUUAAUUACGACUCCAUCAGCACCUUAUGA